rnacentral:ncRNA from 1 species
AAGGCGGAGUCCGAAAAGCCUGAACAGAGUAGGAA